rfam:Pelobacter carbinolicus DSM 2380, complete genome.
CGCGCUUAUUUCGUCCUCUGCGUUAAGCAGACUUCGCGAAACCCGC